rnacentral:rRNA from 1 species
GAACCACCUGAUCCCUUCCCGAACUCAGAAGUGAAACCUCUUUGCGCUGAUGGUAGUGUGGGGUUACCCAUGUGAGAGUAAGUCAUCGCCAGCU